CGGGGAGGCUGUGCGUACCCGGGAACCCCCCAGCGGGGUGAGGAACUACCUGAGUUUAGGCUUUACUAUUCCUUUUCUAGGCGAAGAUGGUCUAGCAGAGUGGCAUCAGCCUACAGGAUCUGCACAUCUGAUGUCCCUUAGGGAGCUCUCCCAUUGCCGCCUUGGGAAUCUGUAUUCACAUUAGAACAUAAAGUCCCUACAUUGGGCUGACCCUAAAAACAUCAAGACAUGAAGAAUGAGUGAGGAUGCCUGCUUGAUGAGCCAGGAAAAAGGCAGAAUCCGGAGGUCUGGAAUUGAACAGUGUUUCACUGAAUUGCCCAACCAGGCUCGAGCUUGUGAUCAUCCUGCCUCAGCCUCCCAGAGUCCUGAAAUUACAGUCAUGAAAACAUGAAGCCUGGAGCUACCAUGGCCUUCUUGUGACCACAAGUACAACAAACAGCAAUGAAGGCAAACAGCAUUCUGAGGACAACAGCUGAGAAGGAAGCAAAGAGUGAGUCCUUAAUGAUGUAGUUAAACUUUCAAAGAACCUGGAACAGCCCACUUCUGGACUCCCUCUUAGAUACAUCUUUGGAUGCUUCAGGUAAGGGCUCUUCUGACUGGACUUGACUCCUGGGACCUCCUUACCAGGAAGUACCUUCUUCAGCCAAUCCCUCAAUAGAUUUUUCAGGGCCUUGGAAGAUAGGUUUCAUCAUGGCGUUCUGUAGGAAAGGCACUUGGAAUGUCAACCACUUACUGCAAGCAGAACUUAAGAUAUGGCAGGGAGGAUUAGGCAACAAUAUAUUUUGAAAAUUUACAAGAUGUUUUUGUGACACUUUGGUAGCUUUGUCCCAUGUCAUUUUUUCCCCAAACCCUAAGAGGUAGGCAUUCCUAUUUCCUACAAAUGAGAAACCUUAUCUGUUAAAGAGCUAAUCAACUUGCUUGAUAUUAUACAUAGCUAGUAAGUUAUGGGAUCCUUAUUUCUAAGCCAACUUGCUAAUUCAAAAAUCCAGGAAUUUGGGCUGAAGAUUUAGCUCAGUGGCACUGCACCUGCCUCGCAAACAUAAGGUCCUGAGUUUGAUCCCCAGUACCACCAAAAAAAAAAAAAAAAAAAAAUACAGGAAUUUGCCAGUAUGCCAUAUUAUCUUGCAGAUAGUAGAAUCCUAGGAGUUAAAGCUACAAGGAUAGGUUGGGCCUUAUAUCACAUCAACCUAAAAUGUUCUGCUGAAGAUAUAGUUUCCUAAUCUCUCUGUCUCCUUAGAAUCUCACCUCCAUCAAAAAUAGAACGUUAAUAGCCCGUCAUGGUGGUACACACCUGUAAUCCCAGCACCCUGGGAAGCUGAGACAGAAGAAUAACGUGUUAGAGCCCAGCCUGGGCAAUUUAAUGGCUUAAUGAGAAUUUGGCUCAAAAUUAAAUUUAAAUUUAAAUGAAGGGCUGGGGGUGUGGCUCAGUUUCAAGGCAUUGGGUUCAAUCCUCAAUACUGCAAAAAUAAGUACCAGAAGUUUGAGUCCCACCUAAUGUUUUGUUGCUACAGAGCCAGAUUAGUAGGGUGAAUGAGCUUGACUCCGUUUUCUUAGUUCCUCAAAAGCAUACCAUUCAGUGAGCACAUUGAUGGGACUGCGGCACUGAGGACAAACUCUCUUCCACUUGCUGAAGUUGUUAAAAAUUAAUGGGAGAAAAUAAGAACCAAGAUACUUCGUGUACAGGUACAAAUUCCUUAUGAUGAAUGUGAUCAUUAUAUGUACCAAUAAUCUUACUUAAAAAAAUUAAUGGGAGAAUUAGGACUGGUAAAAUAGCUAUAAUACAAUGAUGUACAAACAUGUAAAUACUGUAAGGGAAAGGCUAAUCCUGGGCAAGCCAGAAGUUUUAUGUAAUUGAAAGAUGAUUCAGUAAGCUACAGGCUCAAGAAAAGAACUAAGUCCAAGAUUCAGGGAGCUUUCUGUGAUCUAGUGGGUCAAGAACCUGGUCAAAAAAGGCAAAGUACCCCGGAAUAAGAGUCAUGGUGGAAGGGGUGAGCUAAAUAAAAGCAAUGGGGUCAAAAUAAAAACAAGUUUAACUAUUUUGAGAAUCCCUCACAGGUGGGCGUAGUCUCACAUGAACAAGGGAGAGCAGUAUUCUGCACUGGCGUGAUGGCCUGGGUAAGAAGGAAAAGCAUCAUGAACCCCAGACAAGAGCUUGUGUUAGCUGGUCAUGGUAGCACAUGCCUGUAAUCUUAGUACUUUGGGAAGCUGAGGCAGGAGAUUCCAAGUUUGAGUCAAGCCUGGGCAACUUAGUGUCCUAGUAAGACCCAGUCUCAAAAUACAAAUAAGAAAAGGGGCUGGGGGUCAGUGGGACGGCCCUGAGUUCAAUCCUUAAAAAGGAAGAAAGAAGUUGAAAAGAAAAAAAAAAGAGAUUGUGAUGGUUGAAGUAGGUGGGCAGUGGGAGGCAGAUAACAGACUGACAGCUAUGCAUUAGUGGUAGCAUCGAAAUAUGUGCACAUGGACCCCACACAACAUUUCUCUUCCAUAAGAGCCACUCCAAGAAUGCAGAGAGAACUGUCCCCUGGGGAGAACUAGGGUAGAGAACCCAGGUCGAAAAAAACCUUUUCUUGUGGAAAGGCAAAUUCACCAUGUCCUGUUUCCUACCACAAAGGGCAAUUGCAAUGAGGAGUUAAGAGACGGUCCCCAAAAUGUACCAGGGGGAUUUAUUUUUCUAUGAAGGGAUAUAAGCCACUGUCAAGUCUCCUUGUGGAAAAGGACAAGUUCUACUGAUCAUGAAACAAAUAACUAAUCUUCAUACAUCUGUAGGGUCAUCCCUAGAUUCUAAAAAUAGAUUGAUUUUAUUUGGCCUCUUGAUAUAUACAACACAGCAUUUUUAUAUGAGAGCCUUGAGACACCAGAUAAGGCAACUGCCAAUCUAUUUAUGUGAGGCAUUUUUACUUUAGUAGAAUAGUAUGGAAUUAUCUCUUUUUUGGGAGGGUGGGUACCAGGCAUCAAACUCAGGCCCUUGCGCUUUCGAGGCAGACAGCAGAACCAGAGCUAAAUCCCUGGCCCUCGGAAUUAUUUCAUUUUUAAAACACAGACAUGCCACCAACAACUAAAUUCAUCAAAGCCUUGUGUUUCUGCUCCUCCACCUAAAUACACCCAGAUCCUAUUUUGAGGAACAUAUGUGACAUGCCAUGUGCCGAAAGUGGACAAGCUUCCUUGCUGCUAGAAGAUAACGCCAACACGGGGCCCUUUUACUGAAAACUCCUUUAUCUCUCUCAGCCAACUGUGUGUCAUGCAGAAGUGAGACAGCUAGAGACUCUUAGAGAAAGGCAGUAAAUAUUUUUUUGGGGGGGGUACUGGGGAUCGAACUCGGGUCCUUGGGCUUGCGUAGCAGGCAGCGAAAUCACUAAGCUAAAUCCCCA